rnacentral:lncRNA from 1 species
UAUGUAAUGCCAUUUAUAAAUUCAAAAUCCAAAGACAACGUAUACAUUUGUUCUCUUAAAUCAACAUAAUAAUUCGACUUGGCUUAAGACAAAUUCAACUCCACGGUUUUACUUCAAACAGUGGAGUAUCAAAAUGUGAUUAAAGUUGUAUAAACAUAACCAACAAUAAGUGCAGAACUUUAUAUGGCCCUUUACGACCCAAAUUUACAAAAAAAAAAAAAAAAAAAACUAGGUACUAACUACGUAAGUUACCUCGAUAUGUACACAUUACAAAACGUCAAAAAGGCUCACAAGGGGUUACAAUCCCUAGGUCUGGCUGAGUCCCUCCCAAAAUGUGAGAGCAAAAUGAAAUACCUG